UAAGAAUUUAUAACAUAUAUAUAACAUGAGCUUUUUUACUUUACAGAUUUUGGAGCAGCUCAGGUGCCACAGAUGUAGAAGACUUCACACAGUAGAAAUACUGGAGAUGCUAAUGAAGUUUAAUUGAAACACUUCUUCACUUUUCUUUUUUCAUGUUAAGAAUUUGAAUUAUUUGAAGUGUUGGUCUUGUACAAAGAAAAUUUUGUAUGGUUGGGUAACAGAUUUCCUGUUCUUCCAGCACAAGGAAAGUCUGCUGAAUUGCAGUGGGCUGCAGUAUGAGAUGUGACUGCCUCCCUUAGUGGUGACAAAGAUUUUCAUGGGAUUCAGCUCAUACACUUCAUCUCUGCAGCAGCGGAGAGCACAAAUGUCUUCAUCCUGCAUUUGCAGGAGCUGUGCUGGCACCGAAGGACCAGGUUGCUUUCUUGAACCCUGUUUUCUGGCUCCAGUCAACCCUUGGCACACAGGGAGACAAGGAAGAAGAGACUAACAGGGAGAUACUUCUGUCCAUGUCAAUGCAUGCAGACUUAAAGAGCAGAAAAGAGAUGACUGAUAAUCCCAGUGAAUUUAGAAUUUGAAAUGCAUUCUGUUUUCUGGAAAAUGAAAUAGACCUAUUUUGUGUUCCCUGUAAAGUUUUAAACCUCUUUUUGUAACCACCAGGAAAAUGUUUCCU
rnacentral:lncRNA from 1 species